GCCCGGGAUGGGGGAGGGCACAGGGAGUCUUCUCCAGGCCAAGGCAGGCAGGACGUGCCUUGGCCCAAGCAGCAGCAAAAAUACCAAGGCAAAGGGGGCUGAAGCCAGUGGGGCUGGAACCAGGAGAACAAAGGGCGGGGCAGGGGCGCAAAGGAAGCUGGGAGGGUGAGCAGCUUCCAGGACCCAGAGGCCUGAGGCCACGCCCUGCUACUGAGCAGCGUGGGAGGUGGGAUGGUUCGUCUCCACUGUCUACCUCAAUGGAUGUAGAAUCACCUAGAAGGAAGAGGUGAAGGUAAUGAUCAAGAUAAAAGAACUAAAGAGGAGUUGUUGACUUGGUAAACCACCCGGAGAAGUCAGACAGUCAAUCAAUCAUACAGUGUCAGAACUGGAAGGAAACUUCAGAGGGAAGAAAAAAAACAAUCUCUUCCAGAUCAACACUGACAGCUGUUCAAACACCCUCUGCUCCAGGGCUUCAGUCCCUGGGAGCAGACUGCCUCAAAAAGCAACCUUGGCUUUGUGAGAGGUUCUGAAAGCCGGAGGGGGUGGAGCGGAGGGACACGGUUUUCUUAUAUGGAGUCACAAUGUAUCUCCGAGCGACUUCAACCCAUUUGUCUUGGCUCUGUUCUCCGAAGGCAGAGCAGGCCAAUGUCCCUUUUAAAUGUGCUGCCCAGAAAGCAACACCAGACUCUAAAUGUGGUCUGAUUUAGUUAGAGCCCCAUGGGGAAUUGGAAGGGGGUGGGAAAUAAUAAAGCCACCAAGUUAACCAGC